rnacentral:rRNA from 1 species
UACGAAGGGGGCUAGCGUUGUUCGGAAUCACUGGGCGUAAAGGGCGCGUAGGCGGCUUUGUAAGUCGGGGGUGAAAGCCUGUGGCUCAACCACAGAAUUGCCUUCGAUACUGCAUGGCUUGAGACCGGAAGAGGUAAGUGGAACUGCGAGUGUAGAGGUGAAAUUCGUAGAUAUUCGCAAGAACACCAGUGGCGAAGGCGGCUUACUGGUCCGGUUCUGGACGCUGAGGCGCGAAAGCGUGGGGAGCAAACAGG